rnacentral:rRNA from 1 species
GACGAACGCUGGCGACGUGCUUAACACAUGCAAGUCGAACGGAAAGGCCCUGCUUGCAGGGUGCUCGAGUGGCGAACGGGUGAGUAACACGUGGGUGAUCUGCCCCUUACUUUGGGAUAAGCCUGGGAAACUGGGUCUAAUACUGGAUAGGACCAUGCUGUAGGUGGUGUGGUGGAAAGAUUAGUUUCGGUAAGGGAUGAGCUCGCGGCCUAUCAGCUUGUUGGUGGGGUAAUGGCCUACCAAGGCGUCGACGGGUAGCCGGCCUGAGAGGGUGGACGGCCACAUUGGGACUGAGAUACGGCCCAGACUCCUACGGGAGGCAGCAGUGGGGAAUAUUGCACAAUGGGCGCAAGCCUGAUGCAGCGACGCCGCGUGGGGGAUGACGGCCUUCGGGUUGUAAACUCCUUUCAGCCAUGACGAAGCCCUUGUGGUGACGGUAGUGGUAGAAGAAGCACCGGCUAACUACGUG